AUGUCACGGAGCAGGGCAGGGUGGGCUGGUCUGCGUAAUUCUGAAAGAUAUUUUGCGCGAAAGGCUUACUUUAUGGACCAGAUGAAAUUGUAUCUGGAGAGAUUUGAGAUUGCACUUGAUACUACACAACAUCCAGUUGUUGUUCUAAAUCUCGUUACCCCCUCAUCCGCCUUUGGUUGUGGAAAACUGGGACUUACCCCAAAGCCGCAAAGCAGGCAACAAUCACGAAGAGUAUUUGGAUGUCAACUUCCCGUGCAGACGUUUCUGUGCUCCUGGAUUCCAUCCCUGCAGGUCAGGUGUGGACAGGCUGUGCUGCCCAGCCCCCCGCGGACCCCUUUCCGCCAGUUUCUUCUCCGUUUCUGAGAUUUCAUCUGAGCUUCCACAGAGGCUUGGCCUGAAUUUGUUUCCUUGGGGAGAAGAUGUAAGCAAAGUAAGAGGAGGGACCCCGCUAAAAAAAUAAAAUAAUAAUUUAAAGAAGUGUACA
rnacentral:lncRNA from 12 species